rnacentral:rRNA from 1 species
GACGAACGCUGGCGGCGUGCCUAAUACAUGCAAGUUGAGCGAUGAAGAUUGGUGCUUGCACCAAUUUGAAGAGCAGCGAACGGGUGAGUAACGCGUGGGUAAUCUGCCUUUGAGCGGGAGACAACAUUUGGAAACGAAUGCUAAUACCGCAUAACAACUUUAAACAUAAGUUUUAAGUUUGAAAGAUGCAAUUGCAUCACUCAAAGAUGAUCCCGCGUUGUAUUAGCUAGUUGGUGAGGUAAAGGCUCACCAAGGCGAUGAUACAUAGCCGACCUGAGAGGGUGAUCGGCCACAUUGGGACUGAGACACGGCCCAAACUCCUACGGGAGGCAGCAGUAGGGAAUCUUCGGCAAUGGACGAAAGUCUGACCGAGCAACGCCGCGUGAGUGAAGAAGGUUUUCGGAUCGUAAAACUCUGUUGGUAGAGAAGAACGUUGGUGAGAGUGGAAAGCUCAUCAAGUGACGGUAACUACCCAGAAAGGGACGGCUAACUACGUG